UCUCCUUCUUCCAUCGACCCCUUUCUUCCUCUCGAUAUAGGAGGACGUCUCCCACCGCAGAUCAAUGCGCCGCCGCCACAGACCAGGUCUCCUUCCUCUUCUUCGAUCCAAGGCAAUCUCUUUCCUGUUCUUUAGUCCAAUCCUUCUAUUUCCUGAUCCAAUCCUUCUUUAACCUGAAACUGUCCGGGGCUCACCCGAUCUCCUCCACCAGCGUGGCCACCAUCCUGAUCCCCUCUUUCUUCUCUACCAUGAGCGCCUACUCAGCCGAGAUUCGCCCGCGAGGAGAGGCAGGGAGCAGCAGCACGCCCUGGGCAUCCCGUGAGCCUGCCUAAUCCCGCUGUUGCCCUCCGAGAUUCGCCGACCAUAAGCAGUUCCGCGUGCACGGCCAUGGAAAGACCUCCAAGCCGCCGCCGAUUCGUGUACUUCGAGGGCUGCCACCCACAACGAGGAACACGAGCGUGGUGCGUCGACGUGGCAAACCCGUUCUCCUUCCUCACUACCAUGUGCAGUUCGCCGAUGCCCGUCGCCAACCCAGUCCUUACGCGAACGACACAAUCUGGACCCUGAUUAUCAUGAUUGUAUGAGAGAUUAAUACCAUUGUACCGUGUGUGCUAGCUAGAAACCGUAGGGUGAUGCUUGGUGUAUUCUUGUGUAGUUGUGUUUUCAUCGGAAAAACAAGGAUGUGGGUCAGACUCCAGUUCAUCGCGACUCCAUUAACGGAGUUUGACCACUCUGAAAAAGGUGAUGCUCUGUAUGCAAUGGAGUUUGGCUCUUGCUCUCGAAAAGAUGGUGAACAAGAAGCUGCCCAACCUGCACACUGUAAGUUUCAACUUUAUGCCUAUUUAUUUUGCAAAUUAAAAAUUCUAAAAAAAAUAUUCCGAAUGAAAAAACAAAUUUUAGAAAAUAUCCAAAAUUUUGUUGCUAUUUCAUAAAAUAUUAGAACUUGCACAAAGUUUCCAUUUUUUCCAAAAAAAUGUCCGUGUAUAAAAGAUACACAUUUUCUAAAAAUCUUAUGAUUUUCAGCACA